AAGUAAGUACCCAAGAGCAUACGGUGGAUGCCUUGCCACAGUCAGGCGACGAAGGACGCGGUUACCUGCGAAAAGCCACGGGGAAUAGGAAGCAUAUGUUGAUCCGUGGAUGUCCGAAUGGGGCAACCCAACUGGAGUCAUGUCCAGUUACUCGAAAGAGAGCCAACCCAGAGAAUUGAAACAUCUUAGUACCUGGAGGAAAAGAAAACAAACGUGAUUUCCUGAGUAGCGGCGAGCGAAACGGAAAGAGCCCAAACCGAUGGCUAUGCCAUCGGGGUUGUAGGACCCAAGAAGCGACUGCAGAGGAUAGUAGAAUGACGUGGGAACGUCAGCCAUAGAAGGUGAAAGCCCUGUAAACGAAAUUUGAAGCAGCGUGUGGGAGAUCCUGAGUACCGCGGAGCACGAGAAAUUCUGCGGGAAUCUGCCGGAACCAUCCGGUAAGGCUAAAUACUCGACUGUGAGCGAUAGUGAACCAGUACCGUGAGGGAAAGGUGAAAAGCACCCUUAAGAAGGGAGUGAAAUAGAACCUGAAACCGUGUGCUUACAAACGGUGGGAGGAAGAUAUCGGGUCCGCCUGAUAUGGACUGACCGCGUGCCUUUUGCAUAAUGAGCCAACGAGUUACUUGUACCAUGCAAGGGUAAGCAUCUAAGAUGCGAACCCGCAGCGAAAGCGAGUCUGAAUAGGGCGAUUCAGUAUGGUGCAGUAGACGCGAAGCCGUGUGAUCUAUCCAUGGGCAGGAUGAAGCGGAGGUAAAACUUCGUGGAGGUCCGAACGGGUGCGGGUUGAAAACUGCUCCGAUGACCUGUGGAUAGGGGUGAAAGGCCAAUCAAACUCGGCAAUAGCUCGUACUCCCCGAAAUGUUUUUAGGAACAGCCUCGCGUGAAGUCUACUGGGGGUAAGGCUCUGAUUGGGCUAGGGCCAUUACAGUGGUACCAAACCCAGACAAACCGUAAAUACCGGAUAGACACUGCGCGGGAGUGAGGCGGCGAGGGAUAAGCUUCGUCACCGAGAGGGAAAGAACCCAGACCAUCAGCUAAGGUCCCCAAAUUACUGCUAAAAGUUUCAAAGGAGGUGCAGUUGCAUAGACAGCCAGGAUGUUUGCUUAGAAGCAGCCAUCAUUUAAAGAGUGCGUAAUAGCUCACUGGUCAAGCGACUGUGCGCCGAAAAUACCCGGGACUAAGCAGUGUACCGAAGCUAUGGAUUUGCAGCAAUGCAAGUGGUAGGGGAGCAUUCUGUACUGCAGUGAAGGUGUGUCGUGAGGCAUGCUGGAGCGUACAGAAAAGCAAAUGUUGGCAUAAGUAGCGAGAAAGCAUGUGAGAAUCAUGCUCGCCGAAAACCCAAGGGUUCCUGGGCUACGUUCAUCGUCCCAGGGUUAGUCGGCUCCUAAGGUGAGGCCAAACGGCGUAACUGAUGGGAAACAGGCACACAAUAUUCCUGUACCUCCAAAAGUGUUAAGCAGAAGGACGCAGAGACGUGGUUGCAUCGGAUUAAUGGCUAUUCCGAUGCAGCAAAAUCACUGCCAAGAAAAGUUCUGUGUAUUACUUCGGAGACCGUACCGUAAACCGACACAGGUGGGUGGGUAGAAUAUACUAAGGCGCUCGUGUGAGCCGUGGUUAAGGAACUCGGCAAAUUAGCCCCGUAACUUCGGAAGAAGGGGUGCUUGCUUUGCGAAAGCAGGGCGAGCCGCAGUGAAAUGGCCCAAGCAACUGUUUAACAAAAACACAUCUCUCUGCUAACACGUGAAGUGGAAGUAUAGGGAGUGACACCUGCCCGGUGCCGGAAGGUUAAGAGGAGAGGUUCGGCGCAAGCCAAAGCUUUGAAUCGAAGCCCCGGUAAACGGCGGCCGUAACUAUAACGGUCCUAAGGUAGCGAAAUUCCUUGUCGGGUAAGUUCCGACCUGCACGAAUGGUGUAAUGAUUUGGGCACUGUCUCAACCACGGG
rnacentral:rRNA from 1 species